GUGUCAGAGGACAGAAUUGAAGGAAAAACAAAACUCAAUUGUCUGAUUAAAAAAAAAGCUAGAAUUUGGAAUUCUUAAAAAUAGAGCUGAAACGAGGAAUAUAGUGUGUCUCGGCUACUACGCAUAUCAUCACCUCUGCGUCAAGCAAGAACAUAGCAGCAGCAAGUCUACACUGAAAUCACGUUAAUGAUGUGCUGAACAAGAAAGCUGGAGAAUCCAGAGGCAAGGCAGUCCCUAAUCCUGUUGCUGGCUGUAGGAUUCCCAGCUGUCAGAAAUCAAGGAUCCAGGCGCAGUGCAGCUUAAACAUCAUGGUCAGAGAGAGGCUGACAGCACAGUACCUACUUGGGGUCCAGAGGCUACAGCCUGAGCUAACGUACCAAUGUUUAACCCCAGAAAUGAAUGACAAAGAAAAGCAAGUCUUGGAAUCUACGUGGAAUGCCAAUAAAAUGCAUUUUCAGUCUUGAAAUUGUCACUGCAUCUUCUGUAAAGAACACAGAAAUAUUUUCAUGUCAGUAAAGCCUACAGCAU
rnacentral:lncRNA from 1 species